rnacentral:tRNA from 1 species
UCCGGGGUAGCUCAAUUGAAGAGCGCUCGGCUUAGGACCGAGAGGGCGCUGGUGUAAAUCCGGCCCCCGGACCCA